AUGCUCCCCGUCAGGGCCUGACCGCAACGUGACUCCAGCCGCCCUACUUUCUGGUCCAGGAGAAAAGAGCCACUCUGCCGGAGGAGAGAGAGGCUAAUUGUCUAGAGAGGCGCUGAAGGAGCAAAACUAAAUGAACUCUAAUUAGGACACGAUUAAGGCUAACUCUCACAGCUGUAAAAAUCCAUUAACCUUUAAUCGUACAGUUCAUCACACACUUGAGGUCUUAGGACUCACUCCUGGGACACUCUGCACAGCAAAGGAUCAGAGAUCAUUCAACUAUAAAAUGGUGUGGCUAACGUUAGCGUGCAAAAGACUGAGUGAAAAUAUAGUGUUGCAGCUGGAGUGUGUUGCUGCUAGAGCUCCUGCUGAAAAUGCACGACUCUUUUCUCCCUCAUCAGGACUCCAUGAUUCUACACCACCAGCAUCCAUGUCACCAAUCUCAACAUCUACCCCCACAAGGCCAAGAAAGAGAAAGAUGCAUCUGACGGCUGUGCAUGAGGCAAUAUUGGAGAGACUGGACAUGAAGAGAGAAUGAACAGGCAGAAUUAUGUCAGAUGGUCAGGGGGUUGCUGGGGAAGCUUCUGGAACAAAAAAAGGGUGGAUGCAAAAUUCAAAAUCACCACAU